GGUUAAGCGACUAAGCGUACACGGUGGAUGCCCUGGCAGUCAGAGGCGAUGAAGGACGUGCUAAUCUGCGAAAAGCGCCGGCGAGGUGAUAUGAACCUUUGACCCGGCGAUGUCCGAAUGGGGAAACCCAGUGCAAUCCGUUGCACUAUCGUUAACUGAAUACAUAGGUUAACGAGGCGAACCGGGGGAACUGAAACAUCUAAGUACCCCGAGGAAAAGAAAUCAACCGAGAUUCCCCCAGUAGCGGCGAGCGAACGGGGAGCAGCCCGGAGUCUGAAUCAGCUUGUGUGUUAGUGGAACGGUCUGGAAAGUCCGACGGUACAGGGUGAUAGUCCCGUACACGAAAGCACACUUGCUGUGAACUCGAAGAGUAGGGCGGGACACGUGGUAUCCUGUCUGAAUAUGGGGGGACCAUCCUCCAAGGCUAAAUACUCCUGACUGACCGAUAGUGAACCAGUACCGUGAGGAGUGAACCAGUACCGUGAGGGAAAGGCGAAAAGAACCCCGGCGAGGGGAGUGAAAAAGAACCUGAAACCGUGUACGUACAAGCAGUGGGAGCCUCUUUAUGGGGUGACUGCGUACCUUUUGUAUAAUGGGUCAGCGACUUAUAUUCUGUAGCAAGGUUAACCGUAUAGGGGAGCCGAAGGGAAACCGAGUCUUAACUGGGCGUUAAGUUGCAGGGUAUAGACCCGAAACCCGGUGAUCUAGCCAUGGGCAGGUUGAAGGUUGGGUAACACUAACUGGAGGACCGAACCGACUAAUGUUGAAAAAUUAGCGGAAUCAAACCGGGAGAUAGCUGGUUCUCCCCGAAAGCUAUUUAGGUAGCGCCUCGUGAACUCAUCUUCGGGGGUAGAGCACUGUUUCGGCUAGGGGGCCAUCCCGGCUUACCAACCCGAUGCAAACUACGAAUACCGAAGAAUGUUAUCACGGGAGACACACGGCGGGUGCUAACGUCCGUCGUGAAGAGGGAAACAACCCAGACCGCCAGCUAAGGUCCCAAAGUCAUGGUUAAGUGGGAAACGAUGUGGGAAGGCACAGACAGCCAGGAUGUUGGCUUAGAAGCAGCCAUCAUUUAAAGAAAGCGUAAUAGCUCACUGGUCGAGUCGGCCUGCGCGGAAGAUGUAACGGGGCUAAACCAUGCACCGAAGCUGCGGCAGCGACGCUUAUGCGUUGUUGGGUAGGGGAGCGUUCUGUAAGCCGUUGAAGGUGUGCUGUGAGGCAUGCUGGAGGUAUCAGAAGUGCGAAUGCUGACAUAAGUAACGAUAAAGCGGGUGAAAAGCCCGCUCGCCGGAAGACCAAGGGUUCCUGUCCAACGUUAAUCGGGGCAGGGUGAGUCGACCCCUAAGGCGAGGCCGAAAGGCGUAGUCGAUGGGAAAC
rnacentral:rRNA from 1 species